GACGAACGCUGGCGGCGUGCCUAAUACAUGCAAGUCGAGCGAUGAUUAAAGAUAGCUUGCUAUUUUUAUGAAGAGCGGCGAACGGGUGAGUAACGCGUGGGAAAUCUGCCGAGUAGCGGGGGACAACGUUUGGAAACGAACGCUAAUACCGCAUAACAAUGAGAAUCGCAUGAUUCUUAUUUGAAAGAAGCAAUUGCUUCACUACUUGAUGAUCCCGCGUUGUAUUAGCUAGUUGGUAGUGUAAAGGACUACCAAGGCGAUGAUACAUAGCCGACCUGAGAGGGUGAGCGGCCACACUGGGACUGAGACACGGCCCAGACUCCUACGGGAGGCAGCAGUAGGGAAUCUUCGGCAAUGGGGGCAACCCUGACCGAGCAACGCCGCGUGAGUGAAGAAGGUUUUCGGAUCGUAAAACUCUGUUGUUAGAGAAGAACGUUAAGUAGAGUGGAAAAUUACUUAAGUGACGGUAUCUAACCAGAAAGGGACGGCUAACUACGUGCCAGCCGCCGCCGUAA
rnacentral:rRNA from 1 species